UUGAAGUCGGGAAUGAAAGGAAAAAUUGAAAUAAACUGUCUUAAAAGUUUUUUUUAGAAAUUGCUAAUAUGGUGAAAAUUCCAUAAUAAAUUUUAAUAGACGAGAAGACCCUAUGAAUUAUUAUUAAAAAUUNACAAAAUUUAAUUUUAGUUUUUGUUGGGGCAACAGAGAAAAAAUAAAAAUUCUAAAUUAUUGUAUUAUUUAUUUGAAGUUUUUACUGUAAAUAAAUUUAAUU
rnacentral:rRNA from 1 species